rnacentral:misc_RNA from 1 species
CGUUGAAUAUUUGAUUGGUUAAAAAAAUUAAACAAAUAGUACAGAAAAUAAAAUAUUAGAGAUCAAAUGACUGAACUUAAAAACUGAAAAAGAAAAAAGAAAAUCUAUCUCAAGGACAACUCUCUUUUCUUUCUAUCCUUGCACUUUUUAAGCUUCCUCAGCACUGAAUAGGAAAAGACUCAGUCACAAACUAUUAGCAUUUCUACUUAUCUUCUUAAAAGACUCAAAUAUCUCAAUAGGAAACAACUCAAUCUAGAUUUUCUAAUAUCCCCCAUUAUAAUUUAUAAGUCAGUGGAGGGGAGGAGGUGGCAGUGAGUGAAUCAGAAAGGUGGGCCAUGUGGAGUGGGAUUUGGGGUGGCUGAGUUUGGAUUCUUUGCUGAGUUUGAGGAAGGUUUAGAUGACGGUCUCGUACCAGGUUGCAAUGCAAUUUGUAAAAUUUCCUCUGCUCCAAAUCCAUGGAGAUUAUUGAGGAUAAGGCAUUUGUGGCAUUAUUUUGUUUGUUCUAUUGCUGGUUAUGUAUUGAGUUUUUAGGGCUUUAUAGGUUGGGAAUUGGGAUAGAGAUGGAUGGGUUGAGGUUGG